GAUGAACGCUAGCGGCAGGCUUAACACAUGCAAGUCGAGGGGCAGCGCGAUGUAGCAAUACAUUGGCGGCGACCGGCGCACGGGUGCGUAACACGUAUGGAAUCUGCCCUUUACUGGGGGAUAGCCCGGAGAAAUCCGGAUUAAUACCCCAUAAUAAUCGAAGUGGCAUCACUUUGAUUUGAAAGCUCCGGCGGUAAAGGAUGACCAUGCGCACGAUUAGCUAGUAGGUGAGGUAACGGCUCACCUAGGCUACGAUCGUUAGGGGGCCUGAGAGGGUUAUCCCCCACACUGGUACUGAGACACGGACCAGACUCCUACGGGAGGCAGCAGUGAGGAAUAUUGCGCAAUGGAGGCAACUCUGACGCAGCCAUGCCGCGUGCAGGAAGAAGGCGCUACGCGUUGUAAACUGCUUUUAACCGGGAAGAAACCCCUCUACGUGUGGAGGGUUGACGGUACCGGAGGAAUAAGCACCGGCUAACUUCGUG
rnacentral:rRNA from 1 species